GUAGUCCACGCCGUAAACGAUGGACACUAGCUGUUGGGACUUCGGUCUCGGUGGCCAAGCGAAAGUGAUAAGUGUCCCACCUGGGGAGUACGUUCGCAAGAAUGAAACUCAAAGGAAUUGACGGGGGCCCGCACAAGCGGUGGAGCAUGUGGUUUAAUUCGAUGAUACGCGAGGAACCUUACCAGGGCUUAAAUGUGGAUUGACAGGUUUAGAGAUAGACCCUCCUUCGGGCAAUUCACAAGGUGCUGCAUGGUUGUCGUCAGCUCGUGCCGUGAGGUGUCAGGUUAAGUCCUAUAACGAGCGCAACCCCUACCGUUAGUUGCCAUCAGGUAAAGCUGGGGACUCUAACGGGACUGCCGGUGCAAACCGAGAGGAAGGUGGGGACGACGUCAAAUCAUCACGGCCCUUACGUCCUGGGCUACACACGUGCUACAAUGGCCGGUACAGAGCGCAGCCACGUCGCAAGGCGGAGCGAAUCUAUAAAACCGGUCACAGUUCGGAUCGGGGUCUGCAACCCGACCCCGGAAAGCUGGAAUCGCUAGUAAUCGGAUAUCAGCCAUGAUCCGGUGAAUACGUUCCCGGCCCUUGUCCACUCCGCC
rnacentral:rRNA from 1 species